rnacentral:lncRNA from 1 species
CACCUGCCUUGCUUCCCUUCUCAUCUCGCACAUCAGUCUCCUAUGUAUAUGGGAUACAUGACUAUCUCGCUCGCCUAUCUCCCUAUUUUAGUGUAUCUGGUAGCAAAAAUACAUGUAUUCAUGUGUAUCUUCCACAAUAUAUGAUAGGAAACUUUUAAUUAGUGUUAAGAUACAUAAUUAUUUGAAAGUAUAGAUAGAAUUAGAUAUAUAUAUAUAUAUGGAAUGAAUAUAUGUAUAAUAAGGUAGUUUUACCUAAAACUUUGCUUAUGAUGCCUAAGGAAAAGAUUCCAUAUUGAAUAGUGUCUUUUUGAAAAGAAAAAAAAAUCAACAAGAUUUUUUGCAAAAUAAGAAUUACUUCAUUUAUUAUUUAAAUAAAUCAACAUACGUCAAGAGAGAGAAAUCCAUUUUAUCCAAAAACAAAAUAUUUCAAUUUUAAGAAUAUGAAAAACAAAUUUUAAAUAGUUAAAUGGCCUUUACUUUAGGAUUUUCUGCCAAAAAUAAAAUAAAAUUGUAGUUCUUCUUUCUUUGAGUUUGGUUUUAAAAUAUCUUUUGGAAAAAAAAAGUUUCCGAAACGUCUUUCUCCAAAAAUUAGAACCAAAAUUCACUCAUAACAUGCAUCUUCAUUGAGAGAUGGCUGGAAGAAAAUGAGAGGGAUAGAGACUAAAUCUGUUGAAGCAUAUGUAUGUACUAUUUUAGCUACUUGUUCAUGUAAAAGGUUACGUACGUUAAUUAGGCCAAAAGUGACAGCUGCAAAAACUGAAUUAUGGUCCCAACUUCAUUAGUUCAAAUUUGAGUCAAUUAUGGCUUCUCUUGACCUAGGAUUUGGAUAGGUCAGAGGUGUUAACUCUACUUCUAAUUUUUCAAAACACUAAAGGUUUAUGGAAUAUGAAUGAGUAUCUGAAUAAUGAGAUUACUAUAAAACGACUGCUUAAUUGUGUAAUUGAUUUCAAAGAAAAACGUUAUAAUAGAUUUUACAAAAGGCUAAUGAAAUAAAACACCAACUUAACCUAGAUCCUUCAGUUGAUAAAUUUAAGGGUAAAAAAUCUAACUAUACAAUCCAGGCACCCUAAAAUAUUGUAUAACAUUAGGUUUAAUUAACAACAACAUUCUCAAUCAAAAUUUUUUCUUAAAGCUUAUAACACACAGAUUUUACGAGGAUAUUUUUUUCCCUCUGUCUUUACGUUUUAUAAGGUUAAUUAAGUUGAUGCCCUACAUCAAUAUGUUUUCUUCAUAAUUUAUCAAUUUUAACAUUUUAAAACAAAAAAACUACAACUUCCUCAGUUUUGUAUUACUUGAUACACGUUGACCUGACACACUUUUAAAUAAAUUUAGUAUUAGAGUUGUAUUUUACUAAACUAAUUUUAUGUAUAUAGUUAUUAUAAUUAAGGGUAGGGUGAGAUUUUUUUUUAUAAAACUCUCUUAAUUUGUUAAAAUAGACAAGUAAAAUUAAACAUCUAUUUUUAGUAUAGGAGUCAAGUAAAAUGAAACAGAAGGAAUACUAAAUACUCUAUGAUGUGUCUCAUAUUAGCUAUUUUAUUUUGCUACUCAAGAGUCGAUGACUACUCUUCAGAGCUUAAUUAAGAUUAGUCUUAUUUAAUACUUUAAAAUUACAAUUUAAAUAUUUAAAAACUAUACAAAAAAUAUUAUAAGUUACUAUUAUUUCUAAUAUCAAUAUAAAAGGUUUACUAAAAAUACUAAUUAAAAUUGACUGCAAAAGGUGUGAAACAUGACAAGUAUUGAAUAGAGUAAUUAGUAUUCAAUUCGGACCAAAGCUAACGGCCAGUAAGUAUAACCACUUUAGUGUACAUUAAGCUACAUUCCAGAUAAAAAAAAUAACGACAACAACAGCAAUAAUACCGAUUUAUAUUAACGUGACACAUUGCAUUCAUGCACAAAUAGUUCCAAACGUAUAAUGACAAAACAAAUUAGAAGCCAAAUUAGUCAUAAUCUCAUUAGAAGAUUAUUAGUCAAAUAAACGUGACCUCAAAGCGAAAGAUCAGAAGAAACGGAUGGCCAUUAUUCAAAGUGUAAAUUUCACUUAUCCUUGCAAAUUGGGCAAGGAGAAAGAUGGUUGAUAAAUGAUUCUUUGAUUGAAAACAUAAUUAAAAAUUUUAAACACGUUAUUUUUAACUAUUCAAAUUUUUAGACGAAAGAAUUACAGAAUCAAUUAGGGGCAGAAGUAAAAAUUAAAAUACAAGUUCGACCGAAUUCAUAAUGUUUUAUGAUUGCAUUAAUUUGAGUGUUGCAAUCAUAUAUGUGUUGAAUCAAAUUGAAUUCGCGUGUAAGAUAAGAAAGGUACACGUCUUAUAGUGCAAAUUGGGAGGAGCAACUUUCAAUAUGGGCAAUACAGCCACUAAAGUAGGCCUCCAACUCCACUUCAACCUCAAACCCCACUCUCUUCAUGUAGCCCACCUAUAUAUAUACCUAAGUCCAUUUUGAGUUACUUGACUUUCACAAUCAAGUUGACCUUCUAAAAGUUACACUCCUAUGUAGAGGCGGAGUCAGUAUUAGGAGUUUGGGUUCUAAAUUUCCUUCCUUCUCCUUAACAUUGAGUUAGCAAUUAAUUUUGUUAGGGGUUCACAAGUUAUUACUUAUAUUUCUGGUAAAAAUAUAGAGUACGGAAAAGCUACUGGGUUUGUCCGAAUCAUGAACCCCCACCUAGCUCCGCCUAGUAGUAAGAAAUUGUUGGAGUAUAGUAAAUUAUAAUAAUACUGAAGUGUGUUACUGUAGUGGUAUAAAUUCACAUGAAAAUAGUCAAUUAUUCGUUGUGUAAUUCAUAUAUUUACUAAUAGCAUAAUCAUUCACUAAUUAUCCACCAUCAACUCAUGAUCUACAAUACUAUGAUUCCAUUAUUUUGUUAUUUAAUUUAUGGAAGGAAGCUGUUCUUUUGGUGAAAUUUUGGAUGCUUCAAUUAUUCUAGAGUUAUUUGAGUUAUACGACAUAAUUGAAUUGUUGUAUUUAAUUAGAGGAAAUAAGUUAAGAGUUAUACUCUAUAAUCCUUAAAGAGAAUGAGAUAUUCAAGUCUUAGCCUGAAAAUUUAUUUAUUCAUUUUUGUGUAUUUUAUAUUCAACUGUAAUUUGUGAUAUACAAAAAAAUAAUACAAAAAUUGCCUUACUUGUUUGAACUAUGAUUUUAAAACAGAUUUGCGAGGUGUAAACCUCCACGUAAGGGGGAUUCAGUUCCAUAGUUUUUUUUUUAAAAAUAUUUUAAAAUAAAAUAGAGUUUAGAAACGGAUAAAAAUGAAAAUUAUGAUAAAGAUUGCAAGAACCAAUUUCAUUCCACGGCCACCUACAAUGUCUCUUUACAUUACAUAAGAUUAAGUAAAAAAGCAAACUAGCUAACCAAAAAGCAUACCGUCCAUUUUAGAGAUCCCAAAGUUAGGUUAAAGUCUUUAAUUUUCAAUAAUUUUCAUCUUUUUAUUUGAUUGGGAGUUUUUUUGUAGCUAAAAAAUAACUGACAUAAGGAAAACUUACAAUAAUAAAAUUGAGAAUAAGGGGUGCUUACCAUUUGACAUGCGAGUAGUCGAGCACCUUGUUUCAAUAAAAAAUUGUUGAUCAUGCAAAGUAUUCAUAAUUGUCGGAUAAUUUUGUGAACUAUCAACACUGAGUCACUAAUAAUGUUGAUUUUGUCUCAUUCCUUCAAACUAAUAAUUAAGAUGAUGAUGUGAUCAACAAUUCCUCCAAACUAGUCUUAGUUAGAUAAUUACGUGACCAACUCCUCCUACCUUAUCCUUUUAUCUUCAUGCUUUGUUCUGCAAUGA